rnacentral:misc_RNA from 1 species
UCCGGUUUGACACCGGCAGUCUCCCUAGAGUGCCCGACAUGACUCGCUGGUAACUAGGAACGAGGGUUGCGCUCGUUGCGGGACUUAACCCAACAUCUCACGACACGAGCCGACGACAGCCAUGCAGCACCUCCACGGCAGCCCCGAAGGGAAGCUCCAUCUCUGGAGCGGUCCACCGCAGUUCAAACCCAGGUAAGGUUCUUCGCGUUGCGUCGAAUUAAACCACAUGCUCCACCGCUUGUGCGGACCCCCGCCAAUUCCUUUGAGUUUCAAUCUUGCGAUCGUACUUCCCAGGUGGGGUGCUUAACGCGUUAGCUGCGACACUGACGGGCAAGCCCGCCAACGUCUAGCACCCAUCGUUUACGGUGUGGACUAC